AGAGUUUGAUCCUGGCUCAGAUUGAACGCUGGCGGAAUGCUUUACACAUGCAAGUCGAGCGGCAGCGCGGGGGCAACCCUGGCGGCGAGCGGCGAACGGGUGAGUAAUGUAUCGGAACGUACCCUGUCGUGGGGGAUAACACAGCGAAAGCUGUGCUAAUACCGCAUACGACCUGAGGGUGAAAGCGGGGGAUCGCAAGACCUCGCGCGAUAGGAGCGGCCGAUAUCGGAUUAGCUUGUUGGUGAGGUAAAGGCUCACCAAGGCGACGAUCCGUAGCUGGUCUGAGAGGACGACCAGCCACACUGGAACUGAGACACGGUCCAGACUCCUACGGGAGGCAGCAGUGGGGAAUUUUGGACAAUGGGGGCAACCCUGAUCCAGCCAUUCCGCGUGAGUGAAGAAGGCCUUCGGGUUGUAAAGCUCUUUCAGCAGGAACGAAACGGUGGCUACUAAUACUAGCUACUAAUGACGGUACCUGAAGAAGAAGCACCGGCUAACUACGUGCCAGCAGCCGCGGUAAUACGUAGGGUGCGAGCGUUAAUCGGAAUUACUGGGCGUAAAGCGUGCGCAGGCGGUUUGUUAAGAUAGGCGUGAAAUCCCCGGGCUCAACCUGGGAACUGCGUUUAUGACUGGCAGGCUAGAGUAUGGCAGAGGGGGGUGGAAUUCCACGUGUAGCAGUGAAAUGCGUAGAGAUGUGGAGGAACACCGAUGGCGAAGGCAGCCCCCUGGGCCAAUACUGACGCUCAUGCACGAAAGCGUGGGUAGCAAACAGGAUUAGAUACCCUGGUAGUCC
rnacentral:rRNA from 1 species